GUAUCGCGUGGCCGACGCAGCAUCGCGUGGAGUGAUUUUUACACGGCUAAUAAGCGGGUGCUCGUCCCCGCGGGCAACAGUUCCGGCUCGAAGGUGGCAAGGCAAAGAGUAGGCGGGAGAAGUGCCGCGAGUCGAUGCUAUUAAGAUUUCCGUAUCGUCGUCCCGUUACACGCGUUCACGCUUCGGACCGGAGUUGAUCCGCGGUGAGGAAAGUAGUUAAAAAUUUCGAAGCGAGCAACGUUCGUUAUUACGUUUCGAGCGACGAAUAUCGAUUCUUCUCUUCGCUUUCACCUUCUCUCUCUCUCUCUCUCUUCUUCGUUCGAAUAUAUUCUUUAUCGACGGCUCGAGACUCCGUCGAAUUUUACUUCUUAUUCCGAUUCACGCGGGUAUUAACACGCGGCGCACCAUCCUUCGAAAACUCUUCCUUUUCUUCUACAAAAAGGAGAAAAAACUAUCCCAUUAAACGGCGGCCACGUAGACGCGGUACUCUCCUCGUGGGAGGAUACGUGCGAGUCGCGAAACCGGCGAGAGGAACGAAUCCUCGCUAUAUGGAAGGGGGACGGGCGAGACGGGACGGGACGAACGAAAGGAAGACGAGAGCGCGUGCGCGCGCGAGACGGAGACGGCGAGAUAGGGAGAAGAGUGAGAGAGAGAGAGAAGGAUCGAGAGAGAUCCGAAAUACACCUGCGGAUCGAGACGGGCAAGAGAACCAGUCGACGCGGAAUAACUGGUAUUAAUACGUCACGUAAUUACCGUGUGAGAGAGAGAGGCAUUGGAAGUGUGUGUAUAUAGCCGGCGUUGUGGCCCGCCAGGGCAACCUCGGUCGGGUUCGAGGCGAGCACACGCGCUUACAUACCCGUCCAAAGCGAGCGUAGCGCAUGCAUCUCGUACAACGGCCAGUUUUCGACUCGAGCGGAGGUCGCUUCGGGCCAUGCUUCUGUUCCGAGCCAUUAUGAUAAUUUCGCCGGAAAGAAGGUUACCGACUUUGCCUCGUCCUCGACUAUCCUAUCCCCUCCCAUUCCUCGAGAGAAAGAGACAGCGAGCGUCCUCCUUCCUCGCCCCCCCUCCCUUACCUACUCGUCCUGUCGUCGUUAAUUCGACGAUACGUUGGUAACCAAGCUUACCGAGAUUACUGAGAAUCUGGUUCGUUUCUUUUUUCCUUCUUUUUUCCCCCCUUUUUUUUUAAUAAGUGUCAUUCCGUGAUCUCGCGAUUCAUUUUAUUCGUCAUUCGUGGUUGCGUAAGCGUGUUUGGGUGUAUUGUACUCGUGAAUGUAACAGUCGAAGCAAGAUACGAAUAAUAAAAUUACUUCGAUUCGAUUUAUUAUCGUUCGAAAGAAUAAUAAUAAUAAUAAUAACAAUCGGAAGCAAUUUUAACAAACGAUUACUCAUGGAUAAUUUACCGCUCGAUGGCGAAAAGAACGUACAAAUUCCGCGCGUGUGAAAUUUUCAACUGGGACAAUUUUCAACUCGCCCUUCCAAGAACGAUUUAAAGACAAAAUUGCGCGAGAGAAGGGAAGUUGCACGCACGGUAGACGGAGAGAGAGAGAGAGACGGACGAGGAUGACGAAUGAAAUUUUCAUCGCUUUUGAGAAAAGUCUCAAGGGGGAAUUUGUAUCGGCGAACGAGACAAAAAGGAGGAAAGGAAGAAAAAGUUGCGCGCAAGUGUGGUUAAACGCGUCCAAUAACGGAAUGGAGGGGGGGGCGGGAAGAGGGAAGGAAGAAAUAGGAGAACGGAUAGGAGAAGAGGUCGAGGCAAAGGAAGGAAGAGCGAAGAGGAAGGAGAGAGGGCAGCGGCCAGUGGGCCCGCCUAACAUUCCCACGGUGCCUGCUCGCGGCCAGACCUCCGCUCGCAUGCUAUUCGAUGCCCCACGAUCUUGCGUUAUGCGAGCAACUUCGCGAGAAAUAUAUAUAUAUAUAUAUUUCGAGAGAAAAAACGAGAGAUCUACCGAAAUGAAUGGAAGAAACGACGAGUUAUGAAAUCGAUCUGGAAUAUCAAUAACACGCUUUCUUCCAUCUUUUCUACUCGUUCCACUUCUCCAACGACCUGUUCGCAACUAACGUUCCUUCGAAUACAUCGAUCUCUACGCGUGUCUCAAUAUAUUCCUUUUUAUCCAUCUAAUCUUCGAUAACGAAUUUGAAGAUAUUUGAACUGGAGCAACCAUCGAUACACUUUCGUUGUUACAAGAAUUUUAAUUUAAAACAAUAUAUAUAUCGAUUUUUCGAAAUGAUUAUUCCCAAUUAUUAUUAUUAUUAUUACAGUUAAAUUU